CGCCAUUUAAAGUGGUACGCGAGCUGGGUUUAGAACGUCGUGAGACAGUUCGGUCCCUAUCUGCCGUGGACGUUUGAGAUUUGAGAGGGGCUGCUCCUAGUACGAGAGGACCGGAGUGGACGAACCUCUGGUGUUCCGGUUGUCACGCCAGUGGCACUGCCGGGUAGCUAUGUUCGGAAGAGAUAACCGCUGAAAGCAUCUAAGCGGGAAACUUGCCUCAAGAUGAGAUCUCACUGGAGCCUUGAGCUCCCUGAAGGGCCGUCGAAGACUACGACGUUGAUAGGCAGGGUGUGUAAGCGUUGUGAGGCGUUGAGCUAACCUGUACUAAUUGCCCGUGAGGCUUGACCAUAUAACACCCAAACAAUU
rnacentral:rRNA from 1 species